rnacentral:rRNA from 1 species
CCUACGGGUGGCAGCAGUGAGGAAUAUUGGUCAAUGGACGAGAGUCUGAACCAGCCAAGUAGCGUGAAGGAUGACUGCCCUAUGGGUUGUAAGCUUCUUUUAUAAAGGACUACAACGAGUCACGUGUGCCUUUUUGCAUGUACUUUAUGAAUAAGGCUCGGCUAACUCCGUGCCAGCAGCCGCGGUAAUACGGAGGAUCCGAGCGUUAUCCGGCUUUAUUGGGUUUAAAGGGAGCGGAGAUGGGUUGUUAAGUCAGUUGUGAAAGUUUGGGGCUCAACCGUAAAAUUGCAAUGGAUACUGGCAGUCUUGAGUACAGUUGAGGUAGGCGGAAUUCGUGGUGUAGCGGUGAAAUGCUUAGAUAUCACGAAGAAUCCCGAUUGCGAAGGCAGCUUACUAAACUGUGACUGACAUUGAUGCGCGAAAGUGUGGGUAGCAAACAGGAUUAGAUACCCGGGUAGUC